rnacentral:rRNA from 1 species
UACGUAGGCAGCAAGCGUUGUUCGGAAUUACUGGGCGUAAAGAGUGUGUAGGCGGUGCUCUAAGUCUGUUGUGAAAUCUCCCGGCUUAACCGGGAGGGUGCGGCGGAAACUGGAGUGCUUGAGGGUGGGAGAGGUAAGCGGAAUUCCUGGUGUAGCGGUGAAAUGCGUAGAUAUCAGGAGGAACACCGGUGGCGAAGGCGGGUCUCUGGGCCGAUACUGACGCUGAGAAGCGAAAGCGUGGGGAGCGAACAGG